rnacentral:rRNA from 1 species
CCUACGGGCGGCAGCAGUGGGGAAUAUUGCGCAAUGGGCGAAAGCCUGACGCAGCGACGCCGCGUGAGGGAUGAAGGUCUUCGGAUCGUAAACCUCUGUCAGCAGGGAAGAACGGUCACUGUGCUAAUCAGCAGUGAAUUGACGGUACCUGCAAAGGAAGCACCGGCUAACUCCGUGCCAGCAGUCGCGGUAAUACGGAGGGUGCGAGCGUUAAUCGGAAUUACUGGGCGUAAAGCGCUCGUAGGCGGGAUGUCAAGUCAAGGGUGAAAUCCCCGCGCUCAACGUGGGAACUGCCUUUAAAACUGGCAAACUUGAGUGUGUGAGAGGAUAGUGGAAUUCCAGGUGUAGGAGUGAAAUCCGUAGAUAUCUGGAAGAACAUCAGUGGCGAAGGCGACUAUCUGGCACAUAACUGACGCUGAGGAGCGAAAGCGUGGGUAGCAAACAGGAUUAGAUACCCAGGUAGUC